UGCAUCGGAACGUACCCCGUCGUGGGGGAUAACUACGCGAAAGCGUAGCUAAUACCGCAUACGACCUGAGGGUGAAAGCAGGGGAUCUUCGGACCUUGUGCGAUGGGAGCGGCCGAUGUCAGAUUAGCUAGUUGGUGGGGUAAGAGCCUACCAAGGCGACGAUCUGUAGCGGGUCUGAGAGGAUGAUCCGCCACACUGGGACUGAGACACGGCCCAGACUCCUACGGGAGGCAGCAGUGGGGAAUUUUGGACAAUGGGGGCAACCCUGAUCCAGCCAUGCCGCGUGCGGGAAGAAGGCCUUCGGGUUGUAAACCGCCUUCAGCCGGAAAGAAAUCGCGCAGGCCAAUACCCUGUGUGGAUGACGGUACCGGAAGAAGAAGCACCGGCUAACUACGUG
rnacentral:rRNA from 1 species